rnacentral:rRNA from 1 species
AACGAACGCUGGCGGCAGGCCUAACACAUGCAAGUCGAACGCUCCGCAAGGGGAGUGGCGCACGGGUGAGUAACGCGUGGGAAUCUACCUAUUAGUAAGGAAUAACAGUUGGAAACGACUGCUAAUACCUUAUACGCCCUACGGGGGAAAGAUUUAUCGCUAAUAGAUGAGCCCGCGUAAGAUUAGCUAGUUGGUGAGGUAAUGGCUCACCAAGGCUACGAUCUUUAGCUGGUCUGAGAGGAUGAUCAGCCACACUGGAACUGAGACACGGUCCAGACUCCUACGGGAGGCAGCAGUGGGGAAUAUUGGACAAUGGGCGAAAGCCUGAUCCAGCCAUGCCGCGUGAAUGAUGAAGGCCUUAGGGUUGUAAAGUUCUUUCGCCGCCGAGGAUAAUGACGGUACUUCAGGAAUAAGGAACGGCUAAUCACGUGCCAGCCGCCGCAGUAA